ACCACUGCGCCACCAGGGAAGUCCUCAACUAAAUUUUUUUUUUUUUGGUCUUUUUGAUGAUAGGUUUCAUGAGAGCAGGGACUUCGUCUGUGUUUCCUUUCCUAUUCACAGUGCACCCUGUAGAACUCUUUGAACACAAAGACUUUUUUUUUUACAAUAACUGUAUUUUUUCUUUUCAGAUUUAAACGUUCCUUUCACACAUUUCCUCCAACAGGCUGCAUGUGUGAAUGUGCUGACCAUUCUUCUUCCGCAGUAUGCCUGCCACUGGAUGGAAGGGCUAGAGUCUUGUACCCCUGGCUUCUUUAUGAGAAUCACCAUAAACUAUCAUCUUCUCUUGAUAAACAUUUUAAGUGAGAAAUCUUUUCAGUUCUCAAAAAAAAAAAAAAAACCUGCAGCAAAUAAUGGACUUCUCUAUAAAGUACCUUACACCGUGGAAAUGCUGUGAGGGAGCUAAGUAGAAAGUUCCAGAGUACCACUGUGUCCCUGCGUCCCUGCUCCAACCCAACCUACCUGGCUACAUUGACGAGAAAGACCUGCUUUACACGCCAGUGUCCCGGGGACAGACGCCUGGCCCAUCCACUUGGGAGCUGUCCAGAUAACUCUUGGCCCCCAAGGCAACCGCCAGCCAACGCUGAAGACGGUGCAGGAGUCAGAGGAGCAGAGAGAACUUGCCAGAGCAUCAGGGCCUCCCCAGAGCCAGGAACCCACAGGUGACACACACUCCACGGGCCCAGCCUCCUCCCAGGGCUCUGUGCCCCGUUCCAGGGGGACCAGAAGAGGCCUCUGAUGAGCGCCCGUGCCGCAGAGCAGCGUCCAGUCUCAAGGUGUGCACGUUCUCACUUUCUCCACCUUCCUUCCUGGCCCUGCCUUCUAUUCCCCAGAGACGCUCCCAUCCCAUCCCCACUCCACCUCCUCCUUGUCCUUUGUGUUCUCCUCUGGGCUCUUUGGCCUCUGUAUCCUUAUUUCAGAGUUUGGGGCUGUGUGUUUCAUCUCCUGCUUCUUAAUUCCUACAGGCUGGAGGGUGUGUGUUACACUACUACACAGUGGAGCUGGCGAGCACAGACUGCAGCUGACAGGCCUGUGUUCAAGUCCAACCUGCUGCAGUGUGGCCUUGGGCAAGGAAAUUAACUUCCCUGUGCCUGUGCCUCCCUGAGAAGUGAGGACACUAAUGCCUACCUGAGAGGCUCCUGGGAGGGUUAAAUGAAACCCCGUUUGCAAAGCACCCAGCCCGGUAUCUGGUAUGCAGUAGGGACACAGCUGUUAUUCUAGGGUGACAGUGCUCGACAGCACACCAGGCAUUCAGCAGGUGCACAGUGAGUGCUCUGUGGCCGGAUGGGCUGAAUCUGGGUCUUUGGUUGCCUCACGGGGGUUAGGCACUAGAGCACUUGUUUCCAUUUUUCUCUGGACCUGUCUCAUAUCUGCAGGUGUGGAGAAGUACAGGCUGACCUCUCAUUUCCUCAGAGCCUGAGCCGGCAAAGACACAGCAGGUCAAGUUCACGGAUAAGUGUAAAAACCGACACUGGCCCCUCUCAAGGGGUGGAGAGAAUCUUUCUCCCAAAAGUUUUCACUAUUCCUCCCACGCUUUUUCUCCCUAAAAGCAUCCCUAAAGCAAGAGCAGGCUUUGAGGCAAACUUCUGCCUCAAAGACAGAUUUUAGAGACAUUCUUUGAAGAUCUUUCUGAUCCCAUGUGACCUGUUGCAGUGACUGAGGCCCUAAUAAAGAGCAAUGGGAGGGCUUCCCUGGUGGCACAGUGGUUGAGAGUCCGCCUGCCGAUGCAGGGGACGCGGGGUCGUGCCCCGGUCUGGGAGUAUCCCACAUGCCGCAG